rnacentral:misc_RNA from 1 species
AAAGUGCGAUAAGUGGUAUCAAUUGCAGAAUCACCCUAUUACCGAAUCUUUGAACGCAAAAGGCGCCCGAGAGAAGCCGUUCACCGGUGAACCUCGUGCAUGCCGCAACCCUCAGUGUCGAACAAAAAACAAAAACCAAAAGAGAGUCUUGGAUCUCGAGAUGGCUCGUCAAACCGGUCGUCUCGGCCAAGUGGUUGCUCGCGAUGAUUUCUUUUCGGAGAAAGAUCCACAAAUGGGCAACAAUUCUCACCAAAAAAAACAAACAGAGAAAGCAGUGAAUAACUUCUUUUAUCUAUUUUCAAAUACAUUUGUUCACAGACCUGAGUGCGGCAGGACUACCCGCCGAACUUAA